AUUUGGCCGGCAUAAGAUAAAUGCAAAAAUGACGAUAAACCUCAAUUCAUAGGAUCUCAAACUUCCCGACAAUGGUAGGAUAUCCAAGGUAAGAUUGUCUAUGACAGAGCUGUGAGAGAAGCAUCCUUUUGACCAGCCUCCACCCCUGUUUUCCACAAGGUUUCCAAGCCCCGCAGCUCCUCUGACCUGGGCGUUCCAUGGUCGCCGGGCUGCUGCUCACGCUAUGGCGCUGUUGAUUGAUGAUUUUGCUCAGGACACCUCACGCCGCACCCGUAGAUGAGGGAGACUUUCAGGUCCUACUAGAGAAGCCCAUUACCCGGACCCCGGAUUCCGGACCUCGCAAUUCCCCCAGUCCCUCAGUGAAUGGUGGAUUUUUCUGUCACUCUGUCCAGGUUCCUUGGAGCCCCGCCCUAGCCCCGCCCACCACACGCCGGUUCCGGUUACGUGGUUUUUUUUUUUUUUUUUGUUGUUGUUGUUGUUUGUUUUUUAAACCUGCCCCUCCUAAGGGCAUUCUCUUUCUUAGUUUUCCAAGUCCACCCGAUUUCUUUUCUUUUCUUUAAAAAAAAAAAAAAAUCUUCGUCACCCUGCUGAUCAGCAUCCCCGCCCCGCAGAGACAGAUCCCUCCUACUCAGUCUUGGGCAGCCUGUCACACUUCUGUCGGGCUGCGCUGCACUUGCUCAGCGCUCUCCCACUAUGCUUGCUGACAUCCAGUCUAGAACUAGAUCUAUAGAACGCUGCACGCAGGUCUUAC
rnacentral:lncRNA from 1 species